rnacentral:lncRNA from 1 species
ACCUUCCACUCCAUUUUACCCUGCUUUCUUUUUUUUUCUUUUAAGAUUCUUUUUUUGAUGUGGACCGUCUUUUUUGAACUUAUUACAAUAUUGCUUCUGUUUAAUUGUUAUCACUAUUAUUAUUUUUGGCCACAAGACAUGUAAGGUCUUAGCUCCCUGCUCAGGAAUUGAACCUGCGCCGCAUGGACUGGACAGUGACAUCUUAACCACUGGACCGCCAGGGAAGUCCCCACUCUGCUUUCUUCAUUCUUUGCAAACAUGCUGCUCAUUCAAACUCAGGUCCUUGUUCCAGUUCUGUGAUUAAGUGGCAUGAUUACCAGCUGAUGCCAGCAAGCUGAGUGUCUGUAGCCAUGCGGUGUGAAUCACCGAGUGGGCUGUGUUCUGGGCCCGACUCUGUCAUUAACUGGCACAGUGACCAGGUAAGCAUCCUCCCCUUGCUAGACCUCAGUUUAUACAGCCACUCAGUGUAGGGUUUGGCCUGUAUCCGUGGUGUCCAAAUUCUUUUUAAGUUGAACCUGUUUUUCAAAUAGAAUCUUAACUUCUAAAAACCAGAGUGCUCCAACUGACCUGUGAGUAGAAGAACUAAUACUCUCUCCAC